UACGAGAGGCCCAAACGUUAUUCGGAAUUACUGGGCUUAAAGAGUUCGUAGGCGGCAUGUAAAGCAGGGUGUGAAAGCCCUCGGCUCAACCGAGGAAUUGCGCUCUGAACUGUCGUGCUUGAGGAACCUAGAGGUGAGCAGAACAGAUGGUGGAGCGGUGAAAUGCGUUGAUAUCAUCUGGAAUACCGGAGGCGAAGGCGGCUCACUGGGGGUUUUCUGACGCUGAGGAACGAAAGCCAGGGUAGCGAACGGG
rnacentral:rRNA from 1 species